CAGGGUCAUGGCGACCGCGAGCAAGAGCGUCAGCAGCUACCUCCCCGCGGACACGUACAACUCGCUUCCGAAGGACGGCGAUCUCACGUUUCUGCACACGAUGCUCCGCGUGAACGACCUGGACGCGACGAUGGCGUUCUUCUCCGCGCUGGGGUUGAUGGAGACGCGGAGGAAGGAGAGUGAGAAGGGGAAGUUCACGCUCGUGUUCAUGGCGUCCGCUCCGGGUACGUGCCCCCGAGAGGAGCGCCCGAGGAGUGGGCAUUAUCGCAUCCAGCGUCGUUCGGCAUUCUGGCACCCCGCGUUCGCGACGCCCGCUGACCCCGCCGCCCACCCUACACCUCCCACCCCACCCCACCCCACUCCAUCCCAGGCGCGCCCGAGAUCGAGCUGACGUACAACUGGGGCGGCGAGGAGUUCGCCCCGCCGUCGAGGAGCAUGGGUCACCUCGCGUUCGCGACGGACGACAUCUACGGGUUGUGCGAGAAGCUGCGAGCCGCGGGCCACGUGAUCCACAGGCCACCGCGCGACGGGAAGAUGGCGUUCGUGAAGUCCCCGGACGGGAUCUCCGUGGAGCUUCUGCAGAA
rnacentral:lncRNA from 1 species